CCUCCGGGGGGCUGCAGUGGGGAAUAUUGGACAAUGGGGGGAACCCUGAUCCAGCCAUGCCGCGUGUGUGAAGAAGGCCCUCGGGUUGUAAAGCACUUUCAGUGAGGAAGAACGCCUGGUGGUUAAUACCCAUCAGGAAAGACAUCACUCACAGAAGAAGCACCGGCUAACUCCGUGCCAGCAGCCGCGGUAAUACGGAGGGUGCGAGCGUUAAUCGGAAUUACUGGGCGUAAAGCGCGCGUAGGUGGCUUGAUAAGCCGGUUGUGAAAGCCCCGGGCUCAACCUGGGAACGGCAUCCGGAACUGUCAAGCUAGAGUGCAGGAGAGGAAGGUAGAAUUCCCGGUGUAGCGGUGAAAUGCGUAGAGAUCGGGAGGAAUACCAGUGGCGAAGGCGGCCUUCUGGACUGACACUGACACUGAGGUGCGAAAGCGUGGGUAGCAAACAGGAUUAGAUACCCGAGUAGUC
rnacentral:rRNA from 1 species